rnacentral:rRNA from 1 species
UACGAAGGGGGCUAGCGUUGUUCGGAAUUACUGGGCGUAAAGCGCGCGCAGGCGGUCCUUUAAGUCAGGGGUGAAAGCCCAGAGCUCAACUCCAGAACUGCCUUCGAUACUGGAAAGCUCGAGUCCGGGAGAGGUGAGUGGAACUGCGAGUGUAGAGGUGAAAUUCGUAGAUAUUCGCAAGAACACCAGUGGCGAAGGCGGCUCACUGGCCCGGUACUGACGCUGAGGUGCGAAAGCGUGGGGAGCAAACAGG